AAGGAAGAGGCCAGGAGAGAAGUCGAAGAAGGAACAAAGCUUGGAGUGGAAAAUCUGAUGGAGAAUUCAAGUGUCAGGGUCAUCUGACCAGCAUCCUGACUCCACUGGCUCACAGUGUGAGGCUGUGGAGGCUGCUGCUCUUCUCGGAACCUUUCUCUUGGGUCCUGAGACACUGGUUAGCACAAGCUGCACACAGUACUCAGCAGGGUUCCUGCUCGCGCUCGAAAGCCAUACUAUACUGCUGAAGAAAGUCGAGGCAGAAUCCUGGAGCCAGGAGUUGAUGCAGAGACCAUAGAAGAUUGCUGCUUACUGGCUUGCUCCCAGUGGCUUGUUCAGCCUGCUUUCCUAAAGAUCCCUGGAUCACCAGCUAAGGGUGGCCACACCCACAAUGACCUGGACCCCUCCUACAUCAAUCAAUAAUUAAGAAAAUGUCUUUCAGGCUUCCCCUUUCUCAUUGGAGGGAUUUUCUCAGUUGAGAUUCCCUCUUUCAGAUAACUCUACCUUGUGUAAAGUUGACGUAGGACUAGCCAGGCAAAGAGGGCUAAGAGCACCAUCUACUAUCUCAGGUGGUAUCCAGAUACCUGAAAUAUAACUGUACCAACAUACCUGGACAGGGCUUCUAAUACAGGCAAGUAAGCAAGAGUCUUCAAGUGUUGGAUGGAAGAAUUCUUUGGUGUGUCUCAGCAUGUGUGUGUGU
rnacentral:lncRNA from 1 species